UAACUCUGGUUUCCCUUCAAAACGCAUAAAUCUUUCGCCUUUUACUAAAGAUUUCCGUGGAGGGGAACACUCAAAUGAGUCUUUACUAUUUUUGAAAGCCUUACUUAUGGUAAGGCU
rnacentral:snRNA from 1 species